rnacentral:rRNA from 1 species
GACGAACGCUGGCGGCGUGCUUAACACAUGCAAGUCGAACGAAGAGCGACGGAAGCUUGCUUCUAUCAAUCUUAGUGGCGAACGGGUGAGUAACGCGUAAUCAACCUGCCCUUCAGAGGGGGACAACAGUUGGAAACGACUGCUAAUACCGCAUACGAUCUAAUCUCGGCAUCGAGGAUGGAUGAAAGGUGGCCUCUACAUGUAAGCUAUCACUGAAGGCGGGGAUUGCGGCUGAUUGGCUAGUUGGAGGGGUAACGGCCCACCAAGGCGAUGAUCAGUAGCCGGUCGGAGAGGAUGAACGGCCACAUUGGGACUGAGACACGGCCCAGACUCCUACGGGAGGCAGCAGUGGGGAAUCUUCCGCAAGGGACGAAAGUCUGACGGAGCAACGCCGCGUGAGGGAGGACGGCCUUCGGGUUGUAAAGCUCUGUUAAUCGGGACGAAAGGCCUUCUUGCGAAUAGUGAGAAGGAUUGACGGUACCGGAAUAGAAAGCCACGGCUAACUACGUG